AAAUCUUGUAAAAUGCGGAUAAUAUGGCCUUGCGAAGUUUGCCGUUUUUCAGUCAUUUUGUAUUACAAUAUUAUUACAGUAUUUGUAAUACAAAAUGACUGAAAAACGGCAAACUUCGCAAGGCUAUAUUAUCCGCAUUUUACAACAUUUU
rnacentral:miRNA from 1 species